UCCGGUUUGUCACCGGCAGUCUCGCAUGAGUCCCCAACUUAAUGCUGGCAACAUGCGACGGGGGUUGCGCUCGUUGCGGGACUUAACCCAACAUCUCACGACACGAGCUGACGACAGCCAUGCACCACCUGUGAAGAUGCCCCGAAGGGAAGACGUGUUUCCACGCCGGUCAUCCACAUGUCAAGCCCAGGUAAGGUGGGGAUGACGUCAAGGUACGGAC
rnacentral:misc_RNA from 1 species